GUGGCAGGCCAUAUUUUUUCUCUCAUUCGAACCCUCGAUUAAAUCACAGAGUAGGAAGGUACACCAGAAGUCUCACUCAAGCAAGUAUUUGUCCGCGUUUUUACAAGCGAUUCGUCAUCAAUCACGCCAUCCUGGCCAGUACAACCGGCACUUUGUACCUACCAAAACCUGAUAAAAACUUCCGGCUGUACUAGCCAGGAUGGCGCGAGCACAGUUAAUAUUGGCGCGAGCGAGUUAAAAUUUUCGUGGACGUAAACACCGACUCAAGUUACACUUCUGCUGUACUUUCCUAUUUUGUGAUUCAAUUAUGGCGAAAUUUGAAAUGCAAUAAUUUU